UUUUUCUAAUUGGAUGCGCCUCCGAUUGCCGGUUUUGCCCAGCUCACCACCCCAACGCCGCACGUGCCGCCACCUCUGCCGUAGGAGCCCAAUGUCCCGUGGCCCCCUCUCAGCUCGCCAUCGCUAAUGGCCGCGACCACGGUCUUGAGGGCUCAGAUGGGCACCAACAGUUACUGUAGGGUUUGGCAUCGGCGAGCUCACCGCACCUGGGCCAGCCAUCCUACCCGCACCUUGCCAUCAUCAUCAGCCUCCCGUGCUUGCCCGCGACUCAUUGUCAGCUCCCGCCACGAACUCCCGGAGAAAGUUUCAACUCGCCUGGCGAUGCUGCCGUGUCAGCCCACCACCACCGCCUCCCUGCGUGUGCUCCUCCAACACUGCUGGCAGGAUCCAGGAUGUGGUCCCUGCAAGUGUUCAAUUGUUGGCGCAGGUCGCGGGCAGGAGCUCCUCUUCAAUUGCAGCAAGGACAUGGCGAGUAGCUUAGCUGAAGUAGGAUUGCACUAGGCGAUAGAAUUAGAAGGAUCCAUCCCACACCAGCCCGCCACCAGUGACGUGUAUAUGCUUAAUCCUUCAAGCAACUCUCAGCUGCAGUACACAGGAUACUUGUUGUUGGAAUGGGCGAAUGGCCCAUCCAUUGCUGCCCCGGUGCUACCCACAUGCUUGUCUUGGAUUUUACACAAUGGUGAACUGUGCUCCCUUUGCUUAAUUUGUUAUUUGUUCAACUACAGAAUUAUAACAAAGUGUACAUAUCUGCCAAUCUUGAAGACUUGAAUUUUUCUCGCUGUAUAUUGAUUGAUGCUUUAGUGAUCUUGUUAAUUGCCAACAAUGGUUAUUUAAUACAAAUUUUAGCUCCUAAUCUUCAUUCCUGAGGCUGACUCUUUCAUGGAAAAUUCAGCUUCAGGGUAUUCCAUUACUGGUUAAUGCACCGUAUCUACAUUUGUGAUGAUGGAAUUUUACACCUUACUCAGGAUUGAUAUGAUCUCAUUAUAGAAUGUUGUAAUGUUUUGGAUGAGUUAUUCAGAUUUGAUAUGGUUCAGAUGAGGCUAUUGUUAUGGAUUAGUAUUGGAAUAUUUACAUCAAUUUAGUAGUAACUUGUUAUUUGUCUUCACAGGACAUUAUUUACGAUUAGACUCUAUGGUGGGGUUAGACCCUGUCUACAUAACUAGAAUUCUGGGUUCUUGCUUGCGGCACUACCUAAAUCUAAAUGAUUUUUGCAUUUAUAAUAUGCCUGGGUUUCUUGCUCUUUAUUUAGAGCACACACUUCUUUCAUUUCAGUAUUGAUCCAUUUUCUGCUAAAACCCCAUAGCCAACUGAACCAUGCAAUGGUUUUCGUGCAGCACAACUUCAGUUACGAGAUUGAACAACAAUGGAUACCAGAUAACUAAGGGAAAGGUCAUUUGAAACCACAUUUAUUUAAAUUAAAACAUUUCAUUGUCACCUUUCAAUGUUGCUCCUAUGGUAACAUGAUGUUAUAAUAUUCAGGAGCUCAAUCGAUUAGCUGGAGCAGAUGAACUUGUGAAUUUGUUAUGGCUCAUGUAGCCUAUACACUAGGUUACAUUUCUUUCUUGGUAGAAUGGGUUAAGACGACACAUUUGCUUAUGAAAUAGGUUUCACCAAGUUAAUUUCAUGAUUGGUGGAUUUCUGUGUUGACAUUUAGAAGAGUCAUUCUUUACACCUUUACAAUGUUCUGUUUAUUUGGUCAUAUGUUGCUAGGAAUUCUAUUUGUAAGCUGAUCAUUGAGUCUUUAGAGUUCAAGUUUACCAGGUCUAAAUGUUAUUUCAAAGGUUCAAUGCCUUGCAGAAGCCCUAAAUGUUAAUUCUGUAAUUUUGGUCCUUGUAUCUUAUGUGAAAAUGGAAUCAUUGCUUUGUCAGGCUUCUAAAAAUUGUGUGCAACACUCCAAGAAUAGGAAAUGUUAUAAAUAAAUCUGAAUUUACCUUUAUAAUGCAAAUAUAAUAGCUAGCCUUUAAUAAUUUAGCGUUUCUUUUCAUUUCCAAUCUCUCCAAUUUCGAUUUGUUUUGUUCUUUCUUGCUUCAGGGUUUGGAUUCUAUCCUAUCUAAAGAUAAUAGUUGCAAAAUUUAGUAAUUAGGCAUAGUUGUACUACUGGGAAAUACCAUCUUCUAAAUUUAAAUCCCCAAAAUAGGAGGGCAUAGUAUGAUAGUAAUGUUAGUAGUGUUCAGUAAUUGGUGGAUCAAGAUCAAUGGUAUAAUCACCAUGCCAUUGACGAGGCCAGGAGGGGUCUGAACUCGCUAUCAUCCUUGGGGCAUGGAUUUGGAAACAUUGAAAAGGCUGUGUUUUUUAAUGGGGUUCGCCAUGAUGUGCUUCACAUUCACAAUUUGCUAGAGAGGAAGCAAACCUCUAGGUUUGUCUUGUGCUAGGGCAUUAGCACAGCUUGACAUGAAUUCAUUGUAGUAGACGGCAGGUUCAGUUAGUCUUUUUGUUCUUACAGGGGCACGUUUGUAACUUUGAGAGUUUGCAGUGUAUUGUAUUUCUAGGACUUUCAUCCCCUUAAUGCACUGAUGCAAAGCUCCUGCAUAUUCACGAAACAAUUUAAAUCACUACAAUAUUCUUUUUCAACCUAUACUUAUUCACUGUGUUUAAAUCACUGCAUUUUCAUACUUCAUGGCAGUGCUAAAUCAUUUUGGAAGAAAUAGAAUUAGUGCAUUUCCUUGUUUACACUGCUGUGAGUUUAUUUUUCCCUCAACACUUAAUUUCCCUCAACCAUGUCAUAUGAUGUAACUGUUUUUUUCUCUGUGUGUGUAUGAAAGUUUGGCCACACAGCAAUUCCCUUUGGGAGUGGAUUUAAUUUAGCCUUCCUGUUUUUGUUCUUUAAAAGCUCUUUACAAAAAAAGUCAUACUGUACAAGAUGUUGUACUGUCGCAUAUCUUAACCUUGUUUGUAAAAUCUUGCUUGCUUGAUGUAGCCUAUGGGUGUUAAAAUCAGUUGUACAGGUGAAUUUUAAGUUGUAGUACUAUUUAAAUUUUACAAUUAAUUGUCAUAUGUUCCCAUUACAGCAAAGGGAAUGCUUGAAGGGCAAAUGAUCUGCACUUCUUCAUGCUUCUCUUGAAGAUUUGUUUCAACAACAUAGUGUUGUUCUUAUCAGAGGAGGUUUUAUUUCUCACAGCAAUUUGUUUAAAAAUAGUCAUGUUUUUUUAUAGUUCACUAGUUGCACAAAUUGCAAUGAUAUUUGCGAUGAUAUAUUGUGUGUUUGGAAACUGAUUCGUUGUGAGAUUUCUAUGAAUGAUGCCACUUGGUACAUUCCUAAUAUUUUGGUUCUAAUGAUAGGUUUCCUACUUUUAUUACCCUGUACAUAAUUGUGUGGUUUCUCAACGAAAUUAUAAUCUCUUUGUUUUCGUGUGUUCCAAAUAGUGUAUUCAUUUGGAGAUGCCUCUUGAGGGAUGUUGUGAUGCAGCCCUUGGCCUGCAGCCCGACCUCAUAUAUGGAGGAACCUCCAACAAAGUCUAGCCUCUCUACAUUUGAAAAAAGGUGUCCUGGGUCUUCAUCAAAUCUCCAGCAAACUGGGCAUCGAGUAUCAUGUACCACUCCCUUUCUAGCAAUAUUCAUUAUGACCUGUAGUGAGUUAUGGACCAUUAGGCAGGCAAACAUCAUAACCUUAUUUGCAACAUACAGUUUCCAAAUUUUGACCAAUCAAAGCCACCAUAAUCAGCACAAGUGAUCAAGUGAAACUAUUACAUUUUUAGCUGCCACUCUUUUUGCAUCUUUACUAAUUGCCGAAUAAACACUAAAAUUUAUCUCCUAGGCGCCCACCACUUUAGUAUGUUCAUUGCAGGCAUGGUGCUUCUAAGACCAAGAUUUAAACCUGUCCUGUCCACCUAUGGUAAACUUGUUUUGUCUGUCUGAACAUUGUAGUCUGAGAAUUUUCGGACGAUGUUGGUCUCAUCCUUGUCAUGUUUACACAGCCAGGAUUCCAGGAACAAGCAGAAAGAUAGCAGUACCAGAGUGUGGAACUGGUGUCCCUUAGCUUAUACCUCCAUGGCUCUAAAGUUAUGUAUUUUGUGGUUUCUCUGGGAAGCCAUUUUAUUGGUAUCUCUUCUACUUUGGUUCUCAAGUGUCCAAGCAUUACCAACUACAUAUGUUAGGCAAAACAUAUUAGUUGCAGACAUUGAUUGGUUAACCAAUUAGCUAUCACCAUAAAUAUUCAUUUCUGGAAACAGAUAUUAGGAUUGUUCCAGAUAACAGGUGGUCAUAGGAAUCCUAGCCUUCUACGCGGAAAUAAAAAAUAUUAUUUAGAAACACAUUCUACAAUAUGAUUCAUUAACAAAAAUAUUAACUAAGUGGAUUCACUUAUUCAGCUGAUUUCGAGACACAAGAAUUAAUACUAUGAUUAAUUUAUGACAUCAUAAGUGACUGCUGUGAUAUUGUCUGCAUAUGGAUUAUGUAGUCAAGAUAUGCUAAUGCAUGUUCAAAUUAGUGCUCAUGAAUGAAGAUCCACUUGCUAACUUCCUUAUGAUUUCUUAAGCAUUUUUAGUCAUACAUAUCCACUCAAUGUGUACAGUAACAUCCAAGCUUGCUCUGAUGGACCGACAAAGAUGGACUCAGAAUAGUCUAUGCAUUUUUCUCAGUAUUCAUAGGUCAUAUCUUUACUUCAAAAUCAUAUUUUUAAGAUGUUCAAUUAUAUAUGACUAGGCAUGCCACCGGGAAAAGUACAAAAUGAGUUGUUAUUAGUUAUUGCACUUUAAGGGUCAGUUAAAAAUAAAUGCAUAGAGCUGUUGGUGGCCCCUCCUAGCUUUGCUUUUAUUUGCUAGAUUUCAUACUUUCUUCCCAUUCAAAAAAAUUGAUUCAUACAUCCAAUUAUUUAAGAAAACAAAAUUCAGAGGGAAAUCUGUAUGCAUGGUUUACAAUUAAUUGUAAAGUUCUUUUUUAAUGUUUUAUUUUGUUUUGCUUCUUUUGACAGGUGAAGCAAUUACGGCCAUUAGAGAUGUGAGAGAAUCAAGGGAUGUAUUAGUUUUGUUUUUUAUUUUUAUUAAAAAGUAAUUUAAUUUGUCUUAGUUGCUGGAACCUUAAUAUUUAUGAUCCCAAUCAAGGUGAUUUAGCAUAUUGUAUAUGAUUUAGUACAGAGCCACAAAACUAUGUUUAUUCAACAAAGUGUAUUACAAUUUUCUUUGACGAUUUAUUUACCUGAAAAUUUAUGUUA